rnacentral:tRNA from 1 species
GCACCGGUAGCUCAGUGGAUUAGAGCACUUGUCUUCGGAACAAGGGGUCGUGGGUUCGAAUCCCUCCCGGUGUACCA